rnacentral:rRNA from 1 species
UACGUAGGGCGCAAGCGUUGUCCGGAAUUAUUGGGCGUAAAGAGCGCGUAGGCGGUUUUUCGGGUCUGCUGUGAAAUCCCGAGGCUCAACCUCGGGACUGCAGUGGGUACGGGCAGUCUGGAGUGCGGUAGGGGAGAGUGGAAUUCCUGGUGUAGCGGUGAAAUGCGCAGAUAUCAGGAGGAACACCGGUGGCGAAGGCGGCUCUCUGGGCCGUAACUGACGCUGAGGAGCGAAAGCGUGGGGAGCGAACAGG